rnacentral:tRNA from 1 species
GGGAUGUAGCUCAGUGGUAGAGCACUUACUUAGUGUGGAUGAGGCCUUGGGUUUAAUCCCAGUGCCAUCA